AGGGCCAUGGUGAACCUUUCGAGGAUGAGGAUGUGGGUGUGGUCACCCAAGAGGUUGCUGAUGAUAUGACCGUGGGGACGUACCAGGCUCGGUCUGCAUACGAGUUGAAGCCUAGGAAGGGAAUCAACAAGUACACACCUGAAGACUUCACCCAAAGAGGCCAAAGAGGCAAAAGGACGGUCGGCACCUCGCGGAUGGCGGCUUUGGAUGACUAUUUGGAUGACGAUGUAGAUUACGUGGAGGAACCGGAGCCGGAGCCGGAGCGGGUUCCUCUUCCUAGGAAGGUGAAGAAGAUAAGCGUCAAGAGGGGGGAGGAGCCAGCAAGCGCGGAAAGCACUAGUCAUCAUCCUUUAUUUAUAAUGUUGAACUUAGAGUGGUGGUAGCUCUUAGUAAUGUGGAAUUUGUUAUGUCGUUGAACUUGGAGUGGUGGUAGCUCUAUGUUAAACUUGAACUUAUUGUGAUGGUCCUUUCUAAGAAA